CCGUACUAAGCAAUACUAUACCUCUAUAGAAAAUUUUAUGUUAAAACUAGUAACAAGAAGACAGACCUUCUCUUAAAUGUAAACGUAAAUCAUAAGGACAAACCACUGAUAUUUAACGCUCAAGAACCAGAAGUAAUAACCAACCAAGAAAACUUUACUUUAAUUAACGUUAACCUAACACAAGAGCAUUUCAAGAAAGAUUAAAAGAAAAAGAAGGAACUCGGCAAACUUUAACCUCGCCUGUUUACCAAAAACAUCACCUCUUGAUAAUAAUGAGAGGCCCAGCCUGCCCAGUGACCCAGUUCAACGGCCGCGGUAUCCUAACCGUGCGAAGGUAGCGUAAUCACUUGUUCUUUAAAUAAGGACUAGUAUGAACGGCAUCACGAGGGUUAUGCUGUCUCCUUUUUCCGAUCAGUGAAACUAAUUUCCCCGUGAAGAAGCGGGGAUAAAAUUAUAAGACGAGAAGACCCUAUGGAGCUUCAAACAACACAACAAAUGCCAAACAACUUAAAAAUUUCAUAACUCCAAAUUUACUCAGCAUUAUGAUUGUUAGUUUUAGGUUGGGGUGACCGCGGAGCAAAACACAACCUCCACAUUGAAAGAAUUUUAUUCUAAGCCAAGAACCACAACUCAAAGCAUCUAUAUAUUGACAUUAAUUGACCCAAUAAACUUGAACAACGAACCAAGUUACCCUAGGGAUAACAGCGCAAUCUACUUCAAGAGCCCCUAUCGACAAGUAGGUUUACGACCUCGAUGUUGGAUCAGGGUCUCCAAGUGGUGCAGCCGCUACU
rnacentral:rRNA from 1 species